AUUGAACGCUGGCGGCAGGCCUAACACAUGCAAGUCGAACGAGUGGCGGACGGGUGAGUAAUGUCGGGGAAACUGCCCGAUGGAGGGGGAUAACGACUGGAAACGGUAGCUAAUACCGCAUACCAUCGGAUGUGCCCAGAUGGGAUUAGCUUGUAGGUGAGGUAACGGCUCACCUGGGCGACGAUCCCUAGCUGGUCUGAGAGGAUGCUCAGUCACACUGGAACUGGGAAACGGUCCAGACCCCUACGGGAGGCAGAAGUGGGGAAUAUUGGACAAUGGGCGAAAGCCUGAUCCGGCCAUGCCGGGUGUGUGAAGAGGGUCUUCGGAUUGUAAAGCACUUUAAGUUGGGAGGCGUUACCAACAGAAUAAGCACCGGCUAACUUCGUGCCAGCCGCCGCGGUAAUUC
rnacentral:rRNA from 1 species